GCUUCUGUGGCCUAAUGGAUAAGGCAUUGGCCUCCUGAGUCAGGGAUUAUGGGUUCGAUUCCAAUCAGAGGUG
rnacentral:tRNA from 1 species